GGAAUUCAAAACACCAGUUCCACCUCAUACGGAUAUACUCUCAAUGAUUCACACCAAAGUAAAGUUACAUGUGCUUGCUUGUUAGUUUAAAAAACGAAAGCAAAAUACACCUUCAUUGACCUUAUCUUUACCAAGGUUUAGUUAACUCAUCAGAAAAAUAUUUUGAGCCAAGGCUUUAGCAGGCUUGUGAAGAGCCUUAUUCAUGCUCCUACUUUUUCCUGCAUCACUUAUGUUGGGAGAAGUUCUUUCCGAUAUUUAGUGCUUCU
rnacentral:lncRNA from 1 species